AGUGAACGCUGGCGGUAGACCUAACACAUGCAAGUCGAACGGCAGCACAGUAAGAGCUUGCUCUUACGGGUGGCGAGUGGCGGACGGGUGAGGAAUACAUCGGAAUCUACUUUUUCGUGGGGGAUAACGUAGGGAAACUUACGCUAAUACCGCAUACGACCUACGGGUGAAAGCAGGGGAUCUUCGGACCUUGCGCGAUUGAAUGAGCCGAUGUCGGAUUAGCUAGUUGGCGGGGUAAAGGCCCACCAAGGCGACGAUACGUAGCUGGUCUGAGAGGAUGAUCAGCCACACUGGAACUGAGACACGGUCCAGACUCCUACGGGAGGCAGCAGUGGGGAAUAUUGGACAAUGGGCGCAAGCCUGAUCCAGCCAUACCGCGUGGGUGAAGAAGGCCUUCGGGUUGUAAAGCCCUUUUGUUGGGAAAGAAAAGCAGCAGGUUAAUACCCCGCUGUUCUGACGGUACCCAAAGAAUAAGCACCGGCUAACUUCGUG
rnacentral:rRNA from 1 species